UCCUCUAUUUUCACAUAUAUGAAUAGCAGGUUGUGCGCCGAUUAGAUAUAUAUGUGGAGUUUUGUCUAGGCAGCCAAACCUGUGAUUAGGGAAACGGUAAGAGCAAGAUUGAAGAUUAUAUGAAGCUCUACCGUUUCCCUUUGCGGUCCCUCCUCUAUUUUCACAUAUAUGAAUAGCAGGUUGUGUGCCGAUUCCAGGUGACCAAACCUGUGAUUAGGGAAGAAGCCGGAAACAAAUUUGGUACCCCAAACCUAGCCUUCCAUUCUUUCUCCCAUCCUCAUGUACAUCAGCUGCCUCCUUGUCUUUGAUUUGUUCGUAUACAUAAUUUAGGAGACAUUUGCACUGCCCCGAAUCCCCUGCCAUUGAUGCAACUAUUUUGUGGCUGAGCUGUACAAGCUUCAAUGCGUCAUCGGUUUCUAUGUAUACUUGUAGCCCUUGCAUCCGAACCAAGAAGUAUGACAUUGUCAACAAUGAUUGCAAUAGUUGUCGUCCCUUUGCAUUACAUAUAACAUAUAAAUUCUUUAGCAAUUUCGUUUCCGGCCUGUGUUUGUGUAGGAGAAAAAUAGAAAACUUUAGGGCUUGUAGUGUAAGUGCCUAAUUCUAACAACAUGCGCGCACAAAUAUAAGCUUAACAAAGUACCCUAACAAACACAACAAGGAUGGAAACAUACGAGCAAAUGGAGAGUGGACUCCUUCUGAAUGUUGUAAUCAGCAAGGGUGCAGCCAUCUUCAAGCUGCUGACUAUUGCGAGCAAAGAUUGCUGACCAUUGCAGCACGGUGAAAGAUUAUAUGAAGGCCAUCAAAGAGGGUCUCUUAGUGACAUGCCUUACUGAGCCAUCUAGUGGGGGAUCUACAUGAUUAGGCAAACAUGGUUAUCAUGCAGAGUUCCACAAACCACUCAUUCGUGUGCUUAGUAAGAGAUCCGAGUGCUGCUCUAACAUUCUCUCGCGGUCAAUUCUUACCUUAUGGUUUUACACUUAUCACACGUAUCUUCCUGCUCAAAGCGAGACCCGUGUGUACAUGGCUAACAGGCGUGCACAUGUGAUAGGGUUGAUGAGGACUUGUGCGAUUCGGAUAUGAACUCUAGAUAAUGAGGAUGAAACUAAUUGCCUGUAUGACCAGUGGAGAAGAGAGUAUGGUGACUAUAGGGCUUUAAACCCUAAUAUAGAUUUUUUUUCCCCAUAUCCAGUUGGAUAUUCCUGAUUAAGUACGUGAUCUUCCAUUUCGUUUUAUUGAUAACCUUUGUGUUAUUUCUGAAAGUAUCACCAGAUAUGCUUAAACUGUUAUUGGAUGUUUGAGGCGACUUGGAUUAUUGGUUUAGCUUUAUUUCUAUAGAGAUGGUUAAUCAUGUGGUGUUUGUAGUUGAUUUGAAUUAUUGGAGCUGAAUUUCAUGGUCAUGUUUAAAGACAAUGUUAAUGCAAUGCUUUGAUGCAUGUGAUUUGUAGCUAAACUUUUAUUCUGUAAAUUUGAAAUUCUGGUGGUUGACAUGACAUGAUUUUGAAACAAAAGACAUGCCAAAAGUGCAAGUUCUCUGAAACCACUCAUCUAUUCUAACAUGACCUUUCAUGCACUGAAGCAGAGUUUGGAUCAAUUAGAUGUAACAAAUUUUUCCAUAGCUUUUCUAAACUUUUCUAACUUUAUCAGAAUAAUAUUCGUUCUUGAUACAAAUCCAGUGCCUGCAUCACUUUCUUGAUGUACAAUUUCCGGUGCAAUCUAUACCUGCACAAGUCCAGACCAACAAUUAGAUCUCCAAUGCGGUAUUAAGACUACCGCUACAUUUCAAGUCCACUACACAGCUAUGGAAUGGAACAGUUACAUACUUGAUAACAGCUUCAAGUGUCCUGGUAGCGUCUGGAAUAGAAUCUGGUGAGAUAGAUGGAGCAAAACAUGAGUUUCCAAUGUCAAGAAAACAACUCCCAGAAAUCAGGAUCUGUGUAGCAAGCUUACCUAGGAUAUUUUGGUCUUCAGUAGAGUUGGUAGGAAAUGCGGCAAGCAUCUGUCUGCAUUCUUCCUGUAAUUCCUUUAUUGCUCUUCUUUCCAUGCUUGGGAUUGGAGGCACAUCCCCAUCUGACCAAGUAGGCAAUGUUCUUGCUGCUGCAAUGACAGCUCCGUCAACAAAGCUAUCUCCUCCACUAGAUAGGCGAUCUGCUACAAAGUUUUACAGGUAUUUCAAACUAUGGAGAUGCUUGGUUUAAUCAGGUACAAAUCAACAUAGAACAAAAAGGCACUACAACAAUCCCAAUGACUCGUACUGUUAUGAUAGUAUUCUUGGGGAAGUCCUGAAAUAUUGAAUACAGACAAGAAGGAAUCCAAAUGAAUUUGUGCAUUUCCAGAGAAUUGAAUAACAUCCCAUGGAUUCUGCAAUUCACAGGCCAGGUAAAAGUAACAAAUUCAGAUUAGUACAAAUUACACAAUAAGGCUUCUAUUACUGAAGCAAUAUAACAGAAAAUUACCACAGAUGAAGAAAAGCCAUAUCUUUGCAUCAACAUGUGGUUCUGUUGUCCACUCAUGUAAUUGAUU
rnacentral:lncRNA from 1 species